rnacentral:sRNA from 1 species
GUCGACCGCCGGCACCGAGACCACCACCGGUUCAACGCGCAAGUCCAGCCAGAGGAUCGAGUAAGGGGUGUCGCUGUUCGGCGUGAUGA